CUGUCUCUCUGCAGGACAGCCCUUCUCAUUUUUUCAGCAGCCUAGCUUCAGCAAGACCUUUCCCCAUCACACACGCAGCCUGGUGGUUAGGGACUCUCCUAAGGAUUGAGCAACGUGGGUUUGAACCACCUAAGGGAAGGAGAAUCUAGAACUGAGAUCUUCUCUUGCUGGAUAGAACUGUGUGAACUCCAUAUAACAGAAGGCCAAGGAGUGAGCCCAGAGGAACACCAGCCAU